rnacentral:rRNA from 1 species
GGUCCCGCCUGCCCUGUGACAUUAGUUUAACGGCCGCGGUAUUUUGACCGUGCAAAGGUAGCGUAAUCACUUGUCUUUUAAAUGGAGACCUGUAUGAAUGGCAUAACGAGGGCUUAACUGUCUCCUCUAUCUAGUCAAUGAAAUUGAUCUCCCCGUGCAGAAGCGGGGAUAAAACCAUAAGACGAGAAGACCCUAUGGAGCUUUAGACACCAGAACAGACUAUGUCAACUACCUUUAACACAAAAGUAAAACAAAAUACGUCCCUGUUCCAAUGUCUUCGGUUGGGGCGACCACGGGAUAAUAAAAACCUCCCGCGCGGAAUGGAAAUGCACCCUUCUACAACCAAGAGCCCCCGCUCUAAUUAACAGAACUUCUGACCAUAAAGAUCCGGCUAACGCCGAUCAACGGACCGAGUUACCCUAGGGAUAACAGCGCAAUCCCCUUCUAGAGUCCCUAUCGACAAGGGGGUUUACGACCUCGAUGUUGGAUCAGGACAUCCUAAUGGUGCAGCCGCUAUUAAGGGUUUGUUUGUUCAACAAUUAAAGUCCUACGUGAUC